ACCACUUCCGAUGGUUAUUUGUUCCUUCUGGUAUAAUGGCAUGGGCGCCAAAUUUAAUGUGUGGUUAUCCUGAUUGGAUGUUUAAUUGUGUGUCAUUUGAUCCUAGAAAUGCCAUGUACAUGC